AACCAUAGAAACCUGCGGAGUACCUGCGGAGGGAUCAUUAAAGAUUGACCGAAAGGUCUUAUCUCUAUAUCCCUCACCUCUGUGAACUGUGGACCUCCGGGUCUAUUUAACAAACAUCAGUGUAAUGAACGUAUAUAUCAUUAAACAAAACAAAACUUUCAACAAUGGAUCU
rnacentral:misc_RNA from 1 species